rnacentral:lncRNA from 1 species
GCUUGAUCUUCAAGUCCUUCAAUACCAUGCCAAAUUUCACCUUGAUCCAACUGACAAAUCUCUAGAUAAUAUAGAAAUCCUACCCAAUGUCAAACUUCCAACUUUUAAACCCUCUUGUGCUAAAAACCAGAUAUUUCUAAACCACACUAUUAAAUUAUUAUAAAAUUUGAUAUACAUUUAGCAUAUCUAAUAAUCCAAAUAGUUUCAAAUUUUUAACUGUAGAUGUUACACCAAUUGCAUGAACUAGCUGAAAUUACUAGCCUUAAUUAUAUUAUAUAAAACCCAAAUCACCAAUACAAAUCCUAACUUUUAACAAUAAUUUCUAAAUCUUCAAAAAUCCUUCAAAAACAAUCUUUAUGUUUUAGGAAAGAAAUUUAAGCUAGCUCUCAAAUCCUAUCCUUUGAUCUUCAAAUGAAUCCCUAUUUUGUCCUAGGCUAUCAUUUUAGUGGCGAGAGGUCUAAUUUCGACCCUGUCUCACAAAUGGUUGAUCCCUGGAUAUCAAUCUAAUCUAUCCUAAGGAUUUUUUAGUCCAACCCUACUCUCAACUUAAUCCUAGUACCAACUAUUUUAAUUAUUUACCUCUUCUAAUCUGAUUUUAUCAAUUUAUGGUCUUUCUAAGGUAGUAGAAGAGUCUCUACAACCUAGAAGGUAAAAUUACUAACUAACC